UAUAUAUUCUAUCAAAAAUUUUACACUGAAAUAUGACAUAUAAGGAAGUCACAGAGGUGGCUGUGAAUAUGCCUAACUAAGAUAAUCUGUAAUGUUAUUAUUUUCUCUGAUAAUGAGUUAAAUGAAAUCUUUUGCCUGGAUUGGCCUGAAUGUUCAUGACAUGAGGUCCACCUCUGGGAGUGUCAGAACCUCACCCCUGUGGCUCUGUGCUUGUUUCCCUGCUGACUUAGGAUAAACACUGUCACAACAGUGUCCUCCCCUGCUUUCCAGCUGAGUGGACUCAAAAGGUGAAUGGACAGCCCACUCCAGAGAUUUAAUUCAUGUGGAAACACAUGAGACCUUUAAACAGGGACAAGGAGAUAGGAAUGCUACUACGAUCACAUGUAUCUGGAGCUUUUUAUUCUGUGUAUUACAGCAUGAAUGCAUCAACUCUGAAAAACAAAAGAUCUUGUAAGCAUGUCUGAUCUUGUUUCUUGACUGCAGUGGGAGAUUCACGCUCAUAGUUACAGCAUCAGAUAGAAAAACAGCUGCUGGAAUAAGAGGCCCAUGAUCUUCAUUUAUGUAUCCAGCUCAACAAAAACACCACACAUACAUUCACAUUCAUCUCAAACAACUUGAGUGUUUGUUUAUACGAGUGUCCAAACACCACAUUGAUGGCCAUUGUCUCUUUUUUGUUUCUAC